rnacentral:misc_RNA from 1 species
UAUUUUUAAUUGCAAAGGCUGCAUUUAAAGUCACAUUAAAUUUAAUAACUUUAAUUGUAUUACAUAUGUUUAUUUUUAAUUUUAAAGGCUGCAUUAUAAGCCCAAUAGAAUAUUGUAAGUGCCUACACGGGUAGCUAAUAUUUGUUACAUUGUAGAGGUUGCAUUUUAAAACCUCAUUUAAUUGUUCCACUGCCUGUGACCCUCAUUCCUGUUUUCCUUUUUUAAUUGUUUUUCCCCUUUUUCUUUUUUUUUUUUUUUUUGACUCCAUCAUGUCGCAGGAGGAUUUGUUGAGGCAAGUCAGGGAGCUGCAGGAAGAAUUGGCCAAACUUCAAACACCAGCAGCUUCCAGUGAUGUUAAAGCAAGUGUGUUUGGCAUCACCAUGAAAUUGCCACCAUUUUGGCAUGACAAGCCAGCAAUAUGGUUUGCCCAGGCCGAAGCUCAAUUUGAAAUAGCGGGCAUAUCACAAGAUUCCACCAAGUAUGGCCACAUUCUUUCUAAAUUAGACACUCGGGUUGCAACAGAGCUUGAGGACGUUAUCGAAAAUCCCCCAACUAAAGAUAAAUAUAACAAUUUGAAAUCCGAAGUAAUAAAGCGAUUUGGCAUUUCCAGAGAUCAGCGUGUUCGGCAACUGCUCAGUGAUGAGCCACUGGGGGACCGCAAACCAUCCUCAUUCUUGCGCCACCUGCAAACUCUCGCUGGUGCCAAGAGUGAUGAAAACAUAAUUAGGGAGCUGUGGAUGCGGAGGCUGCCAUCGGACAUCCAGCACAUCUUAAUGGCACAAAUAGAUUUGCCAUUGCAGAAGGUGGCAGACAUAGCUGAUGCUAUUAUGGAUACACCUGUCAAUGUCAGCUGUCCUAUAAUUGGUUCUGAUUUUCUGGCCCAUUAUCAUCUCUUGCCAGACUGUCGCCAGCAGAGAUUAGUAGACGGGAUCUCCAAGCUGUCUUCACCAGCUACCGUAGCAUCAGCUGCUCAACCCGCAGUCAAGUCUGUUAUUGCCGGAGACUCUGCCUUUAAGAAAAUACUUCUGGAAUUCCCUGACUUAACACGCCCUCCUGGGCAGCUGAUUUACAAGCACCUCUACUGGAAGUUUUGGCAUCUAGCAAGUUAAAAGGAGCCAAGCCAGUACCAUGGACAAGUGACCUUGAACUGGCAUUCCAAAAGUAUGCCUCAUCUACUCAUGUUGGCGCUUGUCUACAACAGUUUGUAGAUAAUGCCUGGCAGCCCAUUGCUUUCUUUAGCAAAAAGCUCACCAGCCGCCAGGCUACCUGGCCAGCGUACUACCGCGAGUUACUGGGAGUAUAUGAAGCUGUUCAGCACUUCAGACAUAUUUUGGAGGCCCAACAUGUCACCAUACAUACUGACCACAAGCCCCUUAUUUAUGCAUUCUCGCAACGACGCGAGAAGCUGCCUCCUGUUCAAUUAAAUCAAUUAUCUUUUAUUUCGCAGUUUACCACCGACUUCGUGCAUGUGCAGGGCACGGACAACGUUGUCGCCGAUGCCUUGUCACGAGUAGACGCCGUCCACGUCGGUUUUGACUACUCCGCUCUCGCCAAAGACCAGGCAACCGACGAGGAGUUAAAGCACAUGCAAAGUGACUCGUCCCUGGAACUAAAGAAGGUAACCAUACCUGGUUCUGAUACGCAAAUCUUUUGCGAUUUAUCAACUGGGAAACCCCGGCCGUAUCUCACACCAUCUUUUCGGCGACUGCAUUUUGACAAGCUGCACAACCUCAGCCAUCCAGGCGCACGGACCUCGGCGCGUAUGGUCGCCGACAGGUUCGUUUGGCCGGGUAUGAGGCGAGACUGCAGAAUGUGGGCCAGACUGUGUCCGGUCUGCCAACGCUGCAAAAUCUCUAGACAUACUGCCACGCCUUUAGGAAUCUUUACCACACCUACUAGACGUUUUCGCCACGUGCACAUAGACAUUAUUGGGCCUCUGCCAUCCAGUAGAGGUUACCAGUAUUGUCUCACAGCUGUGGAUAGAUUCACCCGGUGGCCAGAAGCAUGGCCCAUGGCCACCGCGACCGCGGAGGAAUGCGCGGAAGUUUUCUUUAGAGAGUGGAUGGCUCGUUAUGGUACCCCAUCUAUUGUGACUACAGAUCAGGACCGUCAAUUUGAAUCUUCCCUUUUUCAGACCCUGAUGCAGCUUUGCGGCGCCAAACGCGUGCGCACGACAAGCUACCAUCCGUGCGCAAACGGGUUGGUAGAGCGAAUGCACCGGCAGUUGAAGGCUGCUCUAAUGUGCCAUGAGGACACAUGGCAUAAAGCUUUACCUGUCGUGCUCUUGGGCAUGCGUGCCGCUCUUAAGGAGGACAUACAAGCAUCGCCCGCCGAGCUAGUGUAUGGAGAACCCCUAUGCCUGCCUGGCGAAUUUAUUGUUCCUCCCUCACUUUCUGAUCGCACUGACAGCGAAUCAAAUUUUGCAACUGAACUGAGACGGCAUAUGUCUGUUUUAAGACCGACACCUGCCACUCGGCAUAGAAAGCAGUCUAUUUUCGUUUCCAAGGACCUAGCUACUACGUCGCACGUUUUCUUACGUGACGACGCC